UACGUAGGAGGCGAGCGUUGUCCGGAGUUACUGGGCGUAAAGGGUGCGUAGGCGGCCGCGCGCGUGGCGGGUGAAAUCUCCCGGCUUACCCGGGAGGGGGCUUGCCAGACGGCGCGGCUUGAGGGACGGAGAGGGGCGUGGAAUUCCGGGUGGAGCGGUGAAAUGCGUAGAGAUCGUAAGGAAGACCAGUGGCGAAGGCGAGUUUCUGGACGGUAACUGACGCUGAGGCACGAAGGCCAGGGGAGCAAACGGG
rnacentral:rRNA from 1 species